rnacentral:rRNA from 1 species
CCUACGGGCGGCUGCAGUGAGGAAUAUUGGUCAAUGGGCGCAAGCCUGAACCAGCCAUGCCGCGUGAAGGAUGACGGCCCUAUGGGUUGUAAACUUCUUUUGUACGGGAAAAAACCACAGGUCGAGUAUCUGUGCUGAUGGUACCGUAAGAAUAAGCAUCGGCUAACUCCGUGCCAGCAGCCGCGGUAAUACGGAGGAUGCAAGCGUUAUCCGGAUUCAUUGGGUUUAAAGGGUGCGCAGGCGGAAUAAUAAGUCAGUGGUGAAAGCCUACAGCUUAACUGUAGAACUGCCAUUGAUACUGUCAUUCUUGAGUAUUGUUGAGGUAGGCGGAAUGUGUCAUGUAGCGGUGAAAUGCUUAGAUAUGACACAGAACACCGAUCGCGAAGGCAGCUUACCAAGCAAUAACUGACGCUCAUGCACGAAAGCGUGGGGAUCAAACAGGAUUAGAUACCCCAGUAGUC